UACGAAGGGGGCUAGCGUUGUUCGGAAUCACUGGGCGUAAAGCGCACGUAGGCGGUUCGUUAAGUCAGGGGUGAAAUCCCGAGGCUCAACCUCGGAACUGCCUUUGAUACUGGCGACCUUUGAGUCCGGGAGAGGUGAGUGGAACUCCGAGUGUAGAGGUGAAAUUCGUAGAUAUUCGGAAGAACACCAGUGGCGAAGGCGGCUCACUGGCCCGGUACUGACGCUGAGGAGCGAGAGCCAGGGGAGCAAACGGG
rnacentral:rRNA from 1 species